GACGAACGCUGGCGGCGUGCUUAACACAUGCAAGUCGAACGAUGAAGCUGGAGCUUGCUCCGGUGGAUUAGUGGCGAACGGGUGAGUAACACGUGAGCAAUCUGCCCUUGACUCUGGGAUAACUGCAGGAAACUGUAGCUAAUACCGGAUAUGAGGCUCGAAGGCAUCUUCGGGUCUGGCAAGAAUUUCGGUCAAGGAUGAGCUCGCGGCCUAGCCGCUUGUGGGGGAGGUAAUGGCUCACCAAGGCGACGACGGGUAGCGGGCCUGAGAGGGUGACCGGCCACACUGGGACUGAGACACGGCCCAGACUCCUACGGGAGGCAGCAGUGGGGAAUAUUGCACAAUGGGCGAAAGCCUGAUGCAGCAACGCCGCGUGAGGGAUGAAGGCCUUCGGGUUGUAAACCUCUUUUAGCAGGGAAGAAGCGAAAGUGACGGUACCUGCAGAAAAAGCACCGGCUAACUACGUGCCAGCAGCCGCAGUAA
rnacentral:rRNA from 1 species